rnacentral:misc_RNA from 1 species
GGCUGAGGACGAAUAUGCACCCUUUAAGGCCCAGGAGAUUGCCUGCUGACCACCUCCUACAUUAGGAAGUCAGAGGCUAAGGUGGACCCACACUCCAUUGCAGAGACUGUUGAGUCUCUGAAAAAGUGAGUGUCCAGGAAGAGAGACAAAAAGAAACAAGUAGGUAAAGCUGCUUCUUUUCUUCCACAUGCUCACUGCACAUUGUUGUUGAGGAUGCAGGGAUCCACCUCAGUAU